rnacentral:rRNA from 1 species
UACAGAGAGGGCAAGCGUUAUUCGGAAUUAUUGGGCGUAAAGGGCGCGUAGGCGGCUUUGCAAGUGACAGGUGAAAUCCCUCGGCUUAACCGAGGAACUGCCUGUCAAACUGCAUGGCUUGAGACCGGGAGAGGUGAGUGGAAUUCCCAGUGUAGCGGUGAAAUGCGUAGAGAUGCGGAGGAACACCGAUGGCGAAGGCAGCCCCCUGGGCUAACACUGACGCUCAGGCACGAAAGCGUGGGGAGCAAACAGG